rnacentral:rRNA from 1 species
UACAGAGGUCUCAAGCGUUGUUCGGAUUCAUUGGGCGUAAAGGGUGCGUAGGCGGCUUAUUAAGUCAGGGGUGAAAGGCGGUAGCUUAACUAUCGGAGUGCCCUUGAUACUGAUGAGCUUGAAUGCAGCUGAGGUAGGCGGAAUGUGACAAGUAGCGGUGAAAUGCAUAGAUAUGUCACAGAACACCGAUUGCGAAGGCAGCUUACUAAAGUGUGAUUGACGCUGAGGCACGAAAGCGUGGGGAUCAAACAGG